ACCUAGCCCUGAUUGAAGCGGAAAUCCUUUUUAGCCGCUUUUUUUGCGGAUACAAAGAUUGAAGCGGAAAGCAGGAAACAGC
rnacentral:sRNA from 1 species